UACAGGGGGGGCAAGCGUUGUUCGGAAUUACUGGGCGUAAAGGGCUCGUAGGUGGCCAACUAAGUCAGACGUGAAAUCCCUCAGCUUAACUGGGGAACUGCGUCUGAUACUGGAUGGCUUGAGUUUGGGAGAGGGAUGCGGAAUUCCAGGUGUAGCGGUGAAAUGCGUAGAUAUCUGGAGGAACACCGGUGGCGAAGGCGGCUCUCUGGACCACUACUGACGCUGAGGCGCGAAAGCCGGGGGAGCAAACGGG
rnacentral:rRNA from 1 species